GACGAACGCUGGCGGCGUGCUUAACACAUGCAAGUCGAACGCUGAAGCUCAGCUUUUGUUGGGUGGAUGAGUGGCGAACGGGUGAGUAACACGUGAGUAACCUGCCUCCUUCUUUGGGAUAACGCCCGGAAACGGGUGCUAAUACUGGAUAUUCACUGGUCUUCGCAUGGGGGUUGGUGGAAAGGGUUUUUCUGGUGGGGGAUGGGCUCGCGGCCUAUCAGCUUGUUGGUGGGGUGAUGGCCUACCAAGGCUUUGACGGGUAGCCGGCCUGAGAGGGUGACCGGUCACAUUGGGACUGAGAUACGGCCCAGACUCCUACGGGAGGCAGCAGUGGGGAAUAUUGCACAAUGGGCGGAAGCCUGAUGCAGCGACGCCGCGUGAGGGAUGGAGUCCUUCGUGUUGUGAACCUCUUUCGCUCAUGGUCAAGCCGCAACAAUGGUUGUGGUGAGGGUAGUGGGUAAAGAAGCGCCGGCUAACUACGUG
rnacentral:rRNA from 1 species